AUUUAAAUAAUUUAAUAAAAAUAUUGAUUUGUGGAGUCAAAAAUAUGAGAGAAUCCUUUUAAAUU
rnacentral:tRNA from 1 species